rnacentral:rRNA from 1 species
UACGUAGGGUGCAAGCGUAUCCGGAAUUAUUGGGCGUAAAGAGCUCGUAGGCGGUUUGUCGCGUCUGCUGUGAAAACUGGAGGCUCAACCUCCAGCCUGCAGUGGGUACGGGCAAACUAGAGUGCGGUAGGGGAGAUUGGAAUUCCUGGUGUAGCGGUGGAAUGCGCAGAUAUCAGGAGGAACACCGGUGGCGAAGGCGGGUCUCUGGGCAGUAACUGACGCUGAGGAGCGAAAGCGUGGGGAGCGAACAGG